rnacentral:tRNA from 1 species
ACCUGGUUGGCUCAGUCAGGAGAGCAUGUGACUCUUGGUCUCAGGGUUGUGAGUUCAAGCCCCAUGUUGGGUG